UUGCUGCAGAAGCACAUAUACUAAAAUUGGAAUGACACUGAGAAGAUUAGCAUGGCCCUUGAGCAAGGUUGACAUGCAGAUUAGUGAAGCAUUUCUUUCUUUU